rnacentral:rRNA from 2 species
GGGUGCCUAAUACAUGCAGUCGAACGCGUUGGCCCAAUUGAUUGAUGGUGCUUGCACCUGAUUGAUUUUGGUCGCCAACGAGUGGCGGACGGGUGAGUAACACGUAGGUAACCUGCCCAGAAGCGGGGGACAACAUUUGGAAACAGAUGCUAAUACCGCAUAACAACGUUGUUCGCAUGAACAACGCUUAAAAGAUGGCUUCUCGCUAUCACUUCUGGAUGGACCUGCGGUGCAUUAGCUUGUUGGUGGGGUAAUGGCCUACCAAGGCGAUGAUGCAUAGCCGAGUUGAGAGACUGAUCGGCCACAAUGGGACUGAGACACGGCCCAUACUCCUACGGGAGGCAGCAGUAGGGAAUCUUCCACAAUGGGCGCAAGCCUGAUGGAGCAACACCGCGUGAGUGAAGAAGGGUUUCGGCUCGUAAAGCUCUGUUGUUAAAGAAGAACACGUAUGAGAGUAACUGUUCAUACGUUGACGGUAUUUAACCAGAAAGUCACGGCUAACUACGUGCCAGCAGCCGCGGUAAUACGUAGGUGGCAAGCGUUAUCCGGAUUUAUUGGGCGUAAAGAGAGUGCAGGCGGUUUUCUAAGUCUGAUGUGAAAGCCUUCGGCUUAACCGGAGAAGUGCAUCGGAAACUGGAUAACUUGAGUGCAGAAGAGGGUAGUGGAACUCCAUGUGUAGCGGUGGAAUGCGUAGAUAUAUGGAAGAACACCAGUGGCGAAAGCGGCUACCUGGUCUGCAACUGACGCUGAGACUCGAAAGCAUGGGUAGCGAACAGGAUUAGAUACCCUGGUAGUCCAUGCCGUAAACGAUGAGUGCUAGUGUUGGAGGGUUUCCGCCCUUCAGUGCCGAGCUAACGCAUUAAGCACUCCGCCUGGGGAGUACGACCGCAAGGUGAAACUCAAAGGAAUUGACGGGGCCGCACAGCG